CGGUCCAGACUCCUACGGGAGGCAGCAGUGAGGAAUAUUGGUCAAUGGAGGCAACUCUGAACCAGCCAAGUCGCGUGAAGGAUGAAGGUCUUAUGGAUUGUAAACUUCUUUUGCAAGGGAAUAAAGUGGGGGACGUGUCCUCCUUUGCAUGUACCUUGCGAAUAAGGAUCGGCUAACUCCGUGCCAGCAGCCGCGGUAA
rnacentral:rRNA from 1 species